UUACGGCCAUAUUAUAUUGAAACAUCGGUUCCGGACGAUCACGGAAGUUAAGCAAUGUCGAGCAUAGUCACUACAUCGAUGGGUGACCGCUUCGGAAUACCUGGUGCU